ACGCCACACCAUCACGUGGCCAACUCCACCGAGGUCUUGCGGUUGACCUCUGUAAUUUGCACCAACCUUCGUGUCUUCACCCAGCAUCAGCCGCGUCCGCUCCUUCCAAUUUGUUGAGUCAACCGAGCAAAUCCACUGCAGCUCAGCUCAACCGCCGAAGGAAUUGAUUGGCUGAAGUCGCAGCACCUCCAGCGAAGACCGAAGAUAGGCCCACGUCUUUCUCUCGCCAGGCCCAGCUCAGCAGCGCAUGUGAUCUUCAGUCCUUUGGGCCACAGAAUUCAGCACAAGACCAGCAAGCCCAGUUCAGCUAGCACAGUUAGUUCAGUCCAGAAAUUCAGCAUGUCCAGCCCAUUCCAGUGCAAGAACAAAUCUCAAUUGGGCUGAGAUUUGUUGGGCCAAGGUCAAGGCCCGGUCCAAGUCCGCCGGUGUCGUCGAAAGUCCGAUUUCGGCCGCCGUCGCGUCGCCGUUGCGGUGAUUCGAUCUCCGCUUUUGUCAAGUGAGUUUUACUCACUAAUGCUUUAUUAGUUUGCUAAAUUCGUUUAGGGGUUGGUUAGAUUUAAUUAAAUGCAAUUAGGUGGUUAGAUUAGUUUAGAUCAAUUAAAUUAGAGACUUAAUGAUGCAUGUUAGGUGGUUAUAAAUAGACAUUAGCAAGUAGACAUGCCAUGUUAUUUAUGGAACGAGUCUCGGUAAUUUUCCGGGUUCGUAUCGGCUUCCAAUUAGGCUAUAACGGGCCUAAGUUGGAUUUAUUGCAUUUAUUUAAUAUUUUUCGUAAUUAUUUAAUUAUUUAUUUAUUUUCCGGAAAUUAGGCUGGGAUAGCCGACGACCGAAAUUUUGUGUUGAUUCCAAUGGUGCUUUCUGUUUAUUUAUUCGAGAAUCAUAUUAUGAAAUUUUUGUGAAAUUGGUGAAUAUGAGAAUUGUCCCAAAAUUGGGAAAAUGUUGGUACUUGAAGGGAAAGUAACUGUGUGAGGUUGUGAGUUGGAUUAAAGAUUGCCAGGUGGGGCCGUGAUGCCACCAAGUUGAGAAAAAAUUGCCAACUGGGGCCGUGAUGCCACCAAGUUGAGAAAAUUGCCAGGUGGGGCCGUGAUGCCACCAAGUUGAGAAAAAUUGCCAGGUGGGGCCGUGAUGCCACCAAGUUGAGAACAUUUGCCAGGUGG
rnacentral:lncRNA from 1 species